AUUGAACGCUGGCGGCAGGCCUAACACAUGCAAGUCGAGCGGAUGAAGAGAGCUUGCUCUCUGAUUCAGCGGCGGACGGGUGAGUAAUGCCUAGGAAUCUGCCUGGUAGUGGGGGACAACGUUUCGAAAGGAACGCUAAUACCGCAUACGUCCUACGGGAGAAAGUGGGGGAUCUUCGGACCUCACGCUAUCAGAUGAGCCUAGGUACGAUUAGCUAGUUGGUGAGGUAAAGGCUCACCAAGGCGACGAUCGUUAACUGGUCUGAGAGGAUGGUCAGGCCAACUGGAACUGGGACACGGUCCAGGCUCCUACGGGGGGCAGCAGUGGGGAAUAUUGGACAAUUGGGGAAAGCCUGAUCCAGCCAUGCCGCGUGUGUGAAGGAGGUCUUCGGAUUGUAAAGCACUUUAAGUUGGGAGGAAGGGCAGUAAGUUAAUACCUUGCUGUUUUGACGUUACCGACAGAAUAAGCACCGGCUAACUUCGUGCCAGCCGCCGCCGUAAUAC
rnacentral:rRNA from 1 species